AUUAGCGCUGGCGGCGUGCCUAAUACAUGCCAGUCGAGCGAACGGACGAGAAGCUUGCUUCUCUGAUGUUAGCGGCGGACGGGUGAGUAACACGUGGAUAACCUACCUAUAAGACUGGGAUAACUUCGGGAAACCGGAGCUAAUACCGGAUAAUAUUUUGAACCGCAUGGUUCAAAAGUGAAAGACGGUCUUGCUGUCACUUAUAGAUGGAUCCGCGCUGCAUUAGCUAGUUGGUAAGGUAACGGCUUACCAAGGCAACGAUGCAUAGCCGACCUGAGAGGGUGAUCGGCCACACUGGAACUGAGACACGGUCCAGACUCCUACGGGAGGCAGCAGUAGGGAAUCUUCCGCAAUGGGCGAAAGCCUGACGGAGCAACGCCGCGUGAGUGAUGAAGGUCUUCGGAUCGUAAAACUCUGUUAUUAGGGAAGAACAUAUGUGUAAGUAACUGUGCACAUCUUGACGGUACCUAAUCAGAAAGCCACGGCUAACUACGUG
rnacentral:rRNA from 1 species